rnacentral:rRNA from 1 species
UACGGGGGGGGCAAGCGCUGUUCGGAAUUACUGGGCGUAAAGGGCUCGUAGGUGGCCAACUAAGUCAGACGUGAAAUCCCUCAGCUUAACUGGGGAACUGCGUCUGAUACUGGAUGGCUUGAGUUUGGGAGAGGGAUGCGGAAUUCCAGGUGUAGCGGUGAAAUGCGUAGAUAUCUGGAGGAACACCGGUGGCGAAGGCGGCAUCCUGGACCAACACUGACACUGAGGAGCGAAAGCCAGGGGAGCAAACGGG